rnacentral:rRNA from 1 species
GUGGGGAAUAUUGGACAAUGGGCGAAAGCCUGAUCCAGCCAUGCCGCGUGUGUGAAGAAGGUCUUCGGAUUGUAAAGCACUUUAAGUUGGGAGGAAGGGCAGUAAGUUAAUACCUUGCUGUUUUGACGUUACCGACAGAAUAAGCACCGGCUAACUUCGUGCCAGCAGCCGCGGUAAUACGAAGGGUGCAAGCGUUAAUCGGAAUUACUGGGCGUAAAGCGCGCGUAGGUGGUUUUGUAAGUUGGAGGUGAAAUCCCCGGGCUCAACCUGGGAACUGCAUCCAAAACUGCAUGACUAGAGUACGGUAGAGGGUAGUGGAAUGUCCUGUGUAGCGGUGAAAUGCGUAGAUAUAGGAAGGAAAACCAGUGGCGAAGGCGACUACCUGGACUGAUACUGACACUGAGGUGCGAAAGCGUGGGGAGCAAACAGGAUUAGAUACCCGGGUAGUCC